ensembl:lncRNA CCDC26 CCDC26 long non-coding RNA
ACUUGAAUGACUGCUUUUUUCUUAUGCAUUCUUUUAUUUGGAAAAUAUUUUUAAGCAGAAAAUCAUGAAGAAUAAUAAAAACAAAGUAUCUUGCACCCAUUAUCUAAAACUGAAUUGGUAAUGGUUUUUCUUCAUAUCUGCUUUAGAUCUUUAAUAAAUGAAAUAAAUGUGACUGUAUGUCCUACAUCCCAUUCCUGUUGUCUUCCAUGUCUCCUCAGAGGAAGGCCUGAGGAGAGAAGACACAUAGUCAUGCUGACUAAACCAGAUCACCUAGAAUUACCAAAUGGAAAGAUUGUGCCUGCAGCCUGGCCUGUUGCCCACAGCGGUCUACCUGCCACACUGGGAAAGAUCGAGCAGAGACAGAGAAGAAAAGGAGGCUCCAUUUUUCAGGCUGCUCUCCCGCAGGCUCAUGUUUUGUGUUCAUGCCAGGCAGAGAACACAAAAUGUUCCAAUAAAUAAGUAUCAAAGGUUAGUGGUGAAAAUGAAGGAGGAGGAGGCAUUGCGUGAAAAACUAAACAUGCAAAAUAUUACACACAAAGAGAACCAAAAUGCAGGUUCACUGGAAAUGAUAGACAAUAUGUUAAAACAAGAGGAGAGAAGAGAGCUGAAAUAAUCAAAUGGAAACACACAAUUUAGGGCUAAGAUCUUGUUGUGUUCAGCCACAAAUGAUGGCCAGCAGUGAGGAAUCUGUGUGUUCUCCACACUCUUCGCUCCUGGGAAGUCAACUCACAUGGACCAUGAUAUCAAUAUCUGCUCCUUCCCCUAAUAUCUGUUUGACCUUGGGUCAGUUACUUAAACUUCCUAAGCCUUAGUUUCUUUGUCUGGAAAAUAGGGAUAGUUAUACCUACCACACAACCACUUUGUAAUGAAUAUGUUGGAAAUUAUAUGCAAAUUGGCUUCCGUUGGUGUUUGGAACAUAGUAGGUUUUUAACUGGAAUAUAAUAGCUACCAUUAUCAGUAUCAUCAUAUUAAUUUAUAUUUCCAUCUUCAGCCCUUAACCCAGGAUCUUCAGUAAAUGUUGAAUUCUCAAAUUUGUUAAAUUCACUUGUCUAUACUAAUAUUUUACUCUAGGUUUCUUAGAAUAUUCUAGAUAAUAUUAUUAUGUAGAAUAUGUUAUGUAAGCUUCAUCUUAUCUGUAAAUAUAGUUUUACUUUUUCCUUUCUAAUUUUUAUGUCGAUUACUUCUUUUUCUUGGCUUAUUGAAUUGGCUAGGAUUCCCGUACAGUGUUGAAUACGUGCAGCAAGACUGCACAUCUUGCCUUGUUCCUGGUCCCACAGAGAGAAUAUCCAGUACUUCACAAUAAGUAUGUGUUAAUUGUAGAUUUUAUUAGAUUGAGGAAGUUCCCUUUCCUUUCAAGUCAGUCUUUUUAUUUUAAACAUGUAUUGAAGUUUUGUCAAAUGUCUUCAUCUAUUGGAAUAAUUAUACAUAUCUCUUUUUUAUUCUGUUAAUAUUACAUUUCAAUCUUCUGUCUACCUAAAAUCCCUAGAAUAAUCUCCAUUUGGCUAUGAUGUGUUGUGCUUUUAUAUAUUACUGAAUUCUAUAUGCCAAUAUUAUUAAAAUUUUCUGUCUUUAUGAGAAA